AAAUAAGAAACAAAUAAUUGUAAUCAGUUUCGACCUGAAAGUAGAUAAUAAAAAAAUUAUCCUUAUUUU
rnacentral:tRNA from 1 species